UCUCUUUGUCUAAAACGUAUAAAGACUUUGGUCCUUGUUAGGUCUCAAUUGCAUAAUUGGGCCUCUAUGGCUCCUGUAAUAAAACUUUGGUUUAUUUUCUCCUGUUAAUCUAUCUCCUAUAAAUUUAAUUCUUAGCCCAGCUAGAAGAACCCUGGACCAACACAAGUUUCUUCCUCCCCUUCACCUGACACAGUCAGCAGGAUAAACUUCCACUGGACAUUGGCUCUGAAGAUUCUGCAGCUUUGAGCUCUGGGGACUAGGACAUAAAACCAGAAGGUAUAAAUAAGCUUUGCCUGGAGACGUGUGUCAGCCAAGGCAAGACAACACCAAAACAGGAUCUAUCACCCAAAGAGUCUAACAACAUCAAUCAACACGAUCCGACCAAGAGAUUUACACAGCUUCUGUUGCAGGUGUUCUUUGCCUGGUCUGUACCUAUGAAAGCAGCUCAGUGAUGAACCACGGAUGGAUUGUAAGGAAAGAAGGAAUGUGGGGCUAGUCUCUAGCCUGAGUCUAAAUAUGAGUCUGUACCUUCAACGGAGAUCUCCCAGCAGCCCUACAGCUGGGAUGCAGCCCAUGAUGGCCCUGCUCUGUGUGCUCGGAAGUCAGGUCCAGCCCCCUGGAACACAACCACACACACAGAAAGCUGCCGUGACACAGCCAACACGAGGAGGCAGAAAAGCCGGAGGCUAAUCAAGGAAGGCUUUCAGAGUCCCCCAUGCUGGCAACACGCGCGCUCCUGGAGCAGAUGGAACAAAGUGUGAAAUUCCCUUGCAACAGCAAGUGACAAAGGGAAGGAAAACUGGUGAGCUGGUUCAGCCAAACGCACUCAGAGAGAAUUUCUGCGAGACAGCAGGGUUGCGCAGAGCAGGCAUCCUGGGGCUUUCGGGAAGAUUACACAAUCAGCAAAGAUAAACCAAUCAAGCCACAUCCCACUCGCUCUCAUCCAUUUCCAGAUGCAGCUACAGACUUCUGCCAGGGUGGUGUAGAAAAACAGAAAAAUUAGCCGGAACAUAAAUGAGUACUGUUCUCCGCUCCUAAAUUAUUCCCAAAUCAUCGGCAAAAUUCAGGGCUACCCAAGAACCUCCACGUUGGAAGCCACCCUUCACAGCCCCUGAAGUGCCCAGAGAGCCGAGCCCUUGGCCCUACCCUCACCUGGACUAAGAGGGAUGGAUGUGGGAAACAAAGGCAGAAGAAAAAUUACUAAAUUUCCUUACUACCUACAGCCCACUGACAACAUCCUUGAAAUGGGCGGAGGAACAGUCCUCUAGCAACUCAACUGCCUCCAUGUUAACACUUUGCUAAGGACAAAAGGCAAUCCUAGCCUAAUCUCUGCCCCGACCCCUGCCCCUAGGAUCCUGUAAGUCUAC